GACGAACGCUGGCGGCGUGCUUAACACAUGCAAGUCGAACGGAAAGGCCCCUUUGGGGGUACUCGAGUGGCGCACGGGUGAGUAACACGUGAGUAACCUGCCCUUGACUUCGGGAUAACUUCAGGAAACUGGGGCUAAUACCGGAUAGGAAUCCUUGCUGCAUGGUGGGGGUUGGAAAGCUUCGGCGGUUUUGGAUGGACUCGCGGCUUAUCAGCUUGUUGGUGGGGUAGUGGCUUACCAAGGCGUUGACGGGUAGCCGGCCUGUGAGGGUGACCGGCCACACUGGGACUGAGAGACGGCCCAGACUCCUACGGGAGGCAGCUGGGGGGAAUACUGCACAAUGGGCGGCAGCCUGAUGCAGCAACGCCGCGUGCGGGAUGACGGCCUUCGGGUUGGAAACCGCUUUCAGCAGGGGCGAAGCUUGUGGUGACGGUACCUGCAGAAGAAGCACCGGCUAACUACGUG
rnacentral:rRNA from 1 species